rnacentral:rRNA from 1 species
CAGCCGCCACGGUAAUACGUAGGUGGCAAGCGUUGUCCGGAAUUAUUGGGCAUAAAGGGCUCGCAGGCGGUUUCUUAAGUCUGAUGUGAAAGCCCCCGGCUCAACCGGGGAGGGUCAUUGGAAACUGGGAAACUUGAGUGCAGAAGAGGAGAGUGGAAUUCCACGUGUAGCGGUGAAAUGCGUAGAGAUGUGGAGGAACACCAGUGGCGAAGGCGACUCUCUGGUCUGUAACUGACGCUGAGGAGCGAAAGCGUGGGGAGCGAACAGGAUUAGAUACCCGGGUAGUCCCUGUCUCUUAUAC